CUGGAAUGCAGCUUGUUCUUGAAUUAAAGUGUUACUUUUAUAUAUAUAUAUUAUUCUUAUUAUUUUUUGUUGUUGUUUAUUAUGUUACUUGUAAUACGAAGCACGAAAGACUGAUUUUCCAUGAAGAUAUUAUAUGAAAGUCCUUGUUCAAGAUUCACUUAUGUUCUGGCAAGAGCUGUGUUUGGCAGUGAUAUAUGGAUACAGUUGAGUAAACUGCAUCCAGUGUGAGAGAUUCCUCUGGAUGGAUUCACCUCUGAUUCCUGGUAGCUUCUCUUCAAUUGUAUAUGAUAGGUCAACAACUGGCUGAAGAUUUUCUAGUAAUUUUUUGUUCAUAAAUUGACUUAUUUUAAUAAAAAUUAUACCUAUGUCAUGUUACUAA